AUGCCCUCAGCUAAAAGGAAAACAAGGUGACUCAGACCAGGAGGUCCCAGACAAGGAGGAAGGGGCCCUGCUCAACCUGGCAGAAUGGUUAUUGGACUGAGGAAGGUCAUUUGCAAUCUACUGGAGCCUAAGAGCAGAAGGCAGGUGAGAGAAUUCUUAGGAGCUGUGGGGUUUUGCAGACUGUGGAUCCCAAACUUUGCAGCAUUAGCCAAGCCUUUGUAUGAGGUCACAAAGCGGGGGACCAGGAACCUUUUGAAUGGGGAUCCCAACAACAACAAGCCUUUCAUGAGUUAAAGGAAAAACUUCUGUCAGCCCCAGCCCUGGGGCUACCCAAUCUGACAAAGCCUUUUACAUUGUAUGUGUCAGAGAGAAAAGAUGGCACUAGGAGUUUUAACCCAAACUGUGGUGCCCUGGCCGAGGCCGGUGGCCUACCUCUCUAAACAACUAGACAGAAUUUCUAAAGGAUGGCCCCCAUGUUUGAGGGCCUUGGCAGCAACUGCCCUGCUAGUAUAAGAAGCAGAUAAACUGACUCUUGGGCAAAACCUGAACAUAAAGGCCCCCCAUGCUGUGGUGACCUUAAUGAAUACUAAAGGACAUCAUUGGCUAAUGAAUGCUAGACUCACCAAGUACCAAAGUUUGCUCUUGGAUUUUACAGUGAAAAUCCCUGUGUAACCACUGAAGUUUGUAACACCCUGAACCCUGCCACCUUGCUCCCGGUAUCAGAGAACCCUGUCGAGCAUGACUGUGUAGAAGUGUUAGACUCAGUUUAGCAGACCUGACAUCCGGGACCAGCCUUGGGCAUCAGUAGACUGGGAACUAUACAUGGAUGGGAGCAGCUUCAUCAACCCACAAGGAGAGAGAUGUGUAGGGUAUGUAGUGGUAACCCUGGACACUGCUGAAGCCAGAUUGUAGCCCCAGGGCACUUCAGCCCAGAAAGCUGAACUCACUGCUUUAAUUUGGGCCUUAGAACUCAGUGAAGGUAAGACUAAACAUUUACACUGAUUCUCGGUAUGCCUUUAUAACCCUUCAAGUGCAUGGAGCAUUAUAUAAAGAAAAGGGCCUAUUGAACUCUGGGGGAAAGGACAUAAAAUAUCAACAAUAAAUUCUACAAUUAUUAGAAGUAGUAUGGAAAGCCCACAAGGUGGCAGUUAUGCAUUGCAGAGGACACCAGCGAGCUUCCACCUUGGUGGGUUUGGGGAAUUCCCGCGUUGACUCAGAGGCUCGAAAAGCAGCAUCUGCCCCCUUCCAGGCAUCAGUCACAGCCCCCCUGCUCCCUCAAGUACCUGAUCUUGUACCUACUUAUUCUAAAGAAAAGGACUUUCUCCAGGCAGAAGGAGGACAAGUGAUGAAGGAAGAAUGGAUUCAGUUACCACAUGGGAGAGUAGCUGUGCCAUAGCUGCUAGGAGCCGCAGUUGUACUGGCUGUGCAUGAAACCACCCAUUUAGGUCAGGAGUCACUUGAAAAGUUGUUAGGCCAGUAUUUCUACAUCUCGCAUUUGUCAGCCCUUGCCAAAACGGUGACGCAGCUGUGUGUUACCUGCCGACAGCAUAAUGCGAGGCAAGGUCCAGCUGUUCCGCCCAGUAUACAAGUUUAUGGAACAGUCCCCUUUGAAGAUCUCCAGGUGGACUUCACAGAGAUGCCAAAGUGUGGAGAUCUUAUUCCUAGAUUUGGGCUGCCCUUAUGGAUCGACUCAGAUAACAGGCCGGUGGUGUUUGUGGCUGACUUGGUACAGAAGACGGCAAAGGUAAUCGAGUGUGGAUCAAGGACUGGAAUGUAGCCUCUUUAUGGCCAUGGUGCAAAGGACCCCAGACUGUCAUCCUGACCACUCCCACCACUGUGAAGGUAGAGGGAAUCCCAGCCUGGAUCCACCACAGCCGUGUAAAACCUGCAGCACCUGAAACCUGGGAGGCAAGACCAAGCCUGGACAACCCUUGAAGAGUGACUCUGAAGAUGACAAGCCCUGCUCCAGUCAUACCCAGAAGCUGACUGGUCCAUGCACAGCCGAAGCAUGAGGAAGCUCAUUGUGGGAUUCAUUUUUCUUAAAUUUUGGACUUGUACAGUAAGGACUUCAACUGACCUUCCUCAGACAGAGAUAGGGCAAAAACUUGAAACAGUCUUGUUGUUUAAAAGGGACUUGUGAGUAUAAUGCCACCCAGUGCAAGAUAUGCAGCCCAGGAAGUGACCAGCCUGAUGUGUGCUAUAACCCAUUAGAACUACUUGAUCCCCGUUAGAAAACAGAGUAUGUAACUCUAGGAAUCAAUGGAACUGGAUUGGCAGGAAGACCUGGAUAGUGAAGAUGAGAGUGAGAACUCCCACUAGUGAGUGAGGUUCUCAAAGGGGGGAAUGAGGAGAGAAGCCAUUUCUCUUACUGUCUCCUGUCUCUGAUUAGGAGAAAGUAAAAGUUAAAAAAACAACAGGAAUGAAGUCAGUGGCAAGACCAGCCAGUGCCACUGAUGACCAGGCCUGAGGUUACUUUUAAUCCCCCACUCUAACCACAUGUGCUCUCAAUCUAUCAUGACCCUUUCAAGUGGAACCCCUUAGAGUUGUAAGCCCUUAAAAGGGCCAGGAACUCUGUCUUCGGAGAGUUUGGCUUUUGAGACACAAGUCUGCCGACGCUUCUGGCCAAAUAAAAAAUCUCUUCCUUCUUUAA